GUUUAGCUUGGGGUUGGUGGUUGUAGACUGCAUUCUGAACUCAGGAGGAAGGAUUCUUCGUGUUUAUUCAACAAAGUAAAUGCCAGCUAGCGUGAACAACGACUGGCUAAAUUCACAUUUAGUCAAGAUUGGAAAGUAGAUACAUUUGGUAGGUUGCGCCCUUUCAAAUUGGUAACAUAAUAUCCGGGUACAUAAUAGUCUUCGUCUGGCUGAACCUUUGUGGAGCAAGGUGCUUGUAAAUAGCUAGCUAAUACUAGCUAACGUUAGGUUGCUACAGUACCUAGCUAAAAGGAUUCAACAUAACAACUGGUAGCUAGCCGGCUAGCCAGAAAGCCAGUGGAAUCACAGCAGCACCGCGGGGAGCCGAGGCCCGAAAGGGAGCCUUCCAGGACCGCGGCUUGAUGUACCCUGCCUGCCUCGCCCCAGCAGCCCACAAUGGGGGAGACCAAAGUCAUAUAUCACCUCGACGACCAGGAAACACCUUACCUGGUCAAAUUGGCAGUGCCCGCCGACAGGGUCACACUUGCAGACUUCAAAAAUGUUCUGAAGAAACCUAACUACAAGUUCUUCUUCAAAUCUAUGGAUGACGAUUUUGGGGUGGUGAAAGAAGAGAUAUCUGAUGACAAUGCCAAACUCCCUUGUUUUAAUGGUCGUGUGGUAUCUUGGCUGGUGUCAGGGGAUGGUGCUCACUCAGACGGGGGCUCGGUGGUUGAGAGUUUGUUGGAGCUGCCGCCACCCCCCCUGGAGAGGACUGGGGGCAUCGGGGGCUCCAGACCACCAUCCUACCAUGGGAAGGCCAUAGGUGGACGAGACUCAUUGGACAACGAGACUGAGACGGGCUCGAUGGUGUCCCAGAGGAGAGAGAGGGAGCGACCGCGUCGGAAACCCACUCAACAGCCUGGUGGGAGGAACGGUUACUCGCGAGUGGGCCGAGGGGCGGAGCUGAGCCAAUACGACAGCUGCUCGUCCUUCAUGAGCAGUGAGCUGGAGUCCACCAGCUGUUUCGACUCUGAGGACGACGACGCCACCAGCCGCUUCAGCAGUUCCACAGAGCAGAGCUCCUCACGCCUGAUGAGGCGACACCGCCGGCGCCGGCGGAAACCCAAAACGUCCAACAUGGAAAGGUCUUCAUCCUUCAGCAGCAUCACAGACUCCACCAUGUCUCUGAACAUAAUCACUGUCACACUGAACAUGGAGAAGUAUAACUUCCUGGGCAUCAGCAUCGUGGGGCAAAGCAAUGAGAGGGGAGACGGAGGCAUCUACAUCGGCUCCAUCAUGAAGGGUGGGGCUGUGGCUGCAGACGGACGCAUUGAGCCCGGAGACAUGCUGCUGCAGGUGAACGACAUCAACUUUGAGAACAUGAACAACGACGAUGCGGUUCGAGUGCUGAGGGACAUCGUACACAAGCCAGGGCCCAUCACUCUGACUGUGGCUAAGUGCUGGGACCCCAACCCCCGUAGCUGCUUUGCUCUGCCUAGAAGUGAGCCGAUCCGGCCCAUUGACCCUGCUGCGUGGGUGUCCCACACUGCAGCGAUGACGGGGGUGUACCCUGCCUAUGGCAUGAGCCCCUCGAUGACCACGGUCACCUCCACCAGCUCCUCCAUCAGCAGCUCCAUCCCUGAGACUGAACGCUUCGACGAUUUCCACUUGUCCAUCCACAGCGACAUGGCAACCGUUGCCAAGGCCAUGGCUUCCCCGGAGUCAGGCCUGGAGGUGCGAGACAGGAUGUGGCUAAAGAUCACCAUCGCCAAUGCCUUUAUAGGCUCAGACGUGGUGGACUGGCUCUUCCAUCACGUGGAGGGCUUCUCAGACCGCAGGGAAGCCAGGAAGUACGCCAGUAACCUGCUCAAGGCCGGCUACAUCCGCCACACCGUCAACAAGAUCACCUUCUCCGAGCAGUGUUACUACAUCUUCGGAGACCUCUGUGGCAACAUGACCCACCUGUCUCUGCAAGACCACGACGGCUCCAGCGGAGGGGCGUCGGACCAGGACACCCUGCCCCCUCUGCCCCACCCUGGGGCGGCCCCCUGGCCCAUGGCCCUACCCUACCAGUUCCCCAUCGCCCACCCCUACAACCCCCAGCCCCAACACGACCUGCCCCAGGGCUUCCCAGGAGUAGGGGCGGGCAGCGCUGGCAGCCAGCACAGCGACGGCAGCAGCGGCUCCAACUGCAGUAAGACCGAGGGCAGAGGAGGCGGCGCUGGGGGCUCCAACAAGUCGGGUGGUAGUGGCAGUGAGUCAGAGAUCAGGAGCCAUCGGGCCCCCAGUGAGCGCUCUGUGGCCCCUAGCGAGCGCAGCACCCGCAGUUCCUACAGCCAUCGAAGCGUCCACUCACUGUCCUACGGCCCCGGCUUGGUCUAUGCCCCCCCAGGCCUACCCCUCAGCCCCUCCACCUGGCCACAGCUGCCCCCGGAGCACCCCCAGGCCGAGAGCUGGCCAACGCUCCCCCAGAGCUCACCGGCUCCCGCCAGUCCCUGCGCAUAGCUGUGGGCAACCCUGGCGAGUUCUUUGUCGAUGUCAUGUGACGCAGGUCAUGUCAUAGGCACACCACAAAAUGGUGGAUAGGAAUUGUUUUGUUUAGUGGUGAGAGGGACAGACAGGAGGAGGAGGUCUCUAGAAAAUCAUUGUUGGGGUCAAUUCCAUUUCCUUUUUGAAUUGGCAGAAUUAAAAUGUAAUUGAGCCCAACCCUGCUGGAAAUGUCCUCUCUUGCUCUUCUGCUCUACUUUCUUCAGUGAAGAAACCCCCCAUCAGUUUCCUCCCUGUGAGGCGAGUUGUGUUUGGGUCGUGACCGGGAGGGAGGCCGGGGAAACAGCUGAGGAUGACUCAGCGCUUUUCUACAUGGAUGUUUUUAAUUUGUUAUUUUCUGUCUUUCCUCUCCUUAUCUGCACGUCCUCUGUCCUCCCCAACCCCAGUCCAUCAGAGACAAAGGUUAAAAAAGAUUCCUCCCUCCCGCCAUACUUUCUUUCACCUAAAAUGGUCCCUUAACAACCGAUUUAUGUUUGCAAAGUGAAAGAAAUAGAAAAUUAACACUAAUCUUAAAUUGACUUUUGUUUGUAUGACUUUGUUUGACUAUGAAAAUGUAGUGCAAGAGACUUGAUGCCCUUUCUGUUCUCUUGUGUUUAUCAUAGCUGGUUGCUGAUACAUGUAGUUUCUUUUUCAACACUUAACAUGAGCUUCCAGUUUAGGCUCAUUGGUUAAAGUACAUUUGUCUGUUAACCAGAGGUAUAUUUGUGUCUCUGUCUUGCGAUAAUGGUGGAGAGAAAAAAGGUUUUCUUACCAACUCUCACUACUCUUUUAUUGAGAAAUGUGUUUUUAUUUAUAAAUAUAGUUUUAUGACUUUAA